UUCUCACUCACUGCCCUGGCAAAUAGUGAACUGUCAUCAUUGUGUUUCCUGGUUAUCCCUUGGACAAUACCAACCUCAGCAUCCCAGCUUUGGAUUCUUGGGGUGCCUUUGGUGAUCUCACUGUCCCAUGCUCUGUUUCAGCUCCUGGAGUUUCAACCCCAUCAGAAGCCACUGCCAAUUUGGACGCUGCUUCCCAGCCUCUUGUGGCUCCUCCAGCAGCAAGAUUUGGUGGCAAAACCACCAGGAAUGAUUUAAUAAAAUUUGCCUGUGGAGCCACAGAACCAGUUUUGAACUGAGGAGG